AAACGUUCUGCACUGUCAGCUGCUGCUGCCCUGUGAGAAGGACAGAGAAGGACACAACUCAGGGCAGGAAGCCUGAAACCUCAGGAACAAGGACUCCUUGGGGACAGAGGUGAUUUUCAGGGUUGGAGCAGGGAAGACGGAAGAGCCUGGAACAACUGCUGUAUUGGGAAGUAAGGAAAUACAGCAUGGAAGACCUGGCUUAUGUCUUGCCUCCAUCAACUCAAGAUGUGGGACUUCACAGAAAGGAAGGCAACACUGCAGCCAUCUGCACACCUGAACAGGAAAAGUUGGCUGAAAUAAGACUGAAAGAGUGGUUCAGAUGGUACAGCACCUGCCUACCAAGCAAGCAUGACACCCUGAAAUCAAACCCAGUACCACCAGAAGUUUCCUGAAACAAAAUUUGUACUUAC